rnacentral:lncRNA from 1 species
GGCAUUGUCUCAUCCACAACGUGAUGAAAAUGGGCUCUCAUUGCAGAUCAAACUUCUUUGUAUUUGAGCUGAAAUCAAUUACUUCAAAGAAUUAUUUUUUAUUUUUUUUUACUAAGCUGUAUGAGCAUAUUCAUGUAGAGUAAACACAAGUCUUCUGGCUGAACCAAAGGUUUGAGAACACAGAGAGCACAGGCAGACCACACACAAAUAGAUCUUGGUAACGAACAAACAACCCCCAAAACAGUUACUCUUAGAUGGUCCGUUUAUAUUUUUGUAGCAGUUGCAAUCUGUUGAGACAAUAAAAAGUUUCACAAGUCUUUAAAACACGUUGUCUAGCAACAAAAAGGUUACUGACAUAGUUCAGUACAGUUUGUCAGGUAUGCCUACUUUUCACAAGGACUGUCUGUUUUCAGAUGCUUACUAAUGAGAAGGGGAUCAUUGGAGGAUAUGUUGAACAAUUUGGGUUUUGCAUCAUUUAUUCAUUGUUCAAGCAUCUGAAGAUGACCGAGAGAUUUAUAAAUGAUAUGUAGGGGAGACCAGGGCUUGUUGUCACAACUUUUAAGAUUUCUUUUUUUGGAUACACUUUAUUUGGAUAGUCUGUAGAGCAUCUACAGAUGGACUAUCUACUAACCCUAGCUUUAAUCUCAACCCUUAUCAUAACCCUAAACUUAACCCUUACCCUAACCUUAGUCUAUCUGUUGAUUAACAACUGCUUGCUAUCUAAAUAAAGUGUGACCGUUUUCUCCUCAAUUCAGCUUUAGUGUGUAGCCUACCACCAUUUUGUUUCACAUUGACUGAAAGAAGAGCUAUUCAUGGAUUACUGGGCAAUUAAAUAUUUUUUUAUCUAUGUUGCCACAUAAAUGUUAUUGUAACAUUUCCUCAAAGGAGGGCUCGCUAUGAAACCGUGUGUCCUGCUGGGGAAAACCCUCUUUCAUUCAGUUUCCAUCUCUUUGACAGAAAACAUACCCACUGGAUCAUCAGCUCCAUUGUUGAUAACUGUACACCCCACUGAUAUUGACAAGUUUGAGGGAAUCCAACAAGGAUAAAGCAGAUCAUUUUCUUAGGUGGUGAAAGACAUUCACCUGUGACAAUUUCAAUAUUCAAAGCUAGGGAUAUGAAGCAGCUAAAUACAUUCCGUAAACACCAAAAUACAAAGAUCUGUAGCUUUAAUUUUUAGUACCUUUUCUUGUCGUUACGAGGUCUGUGACAACUUCUGUAUCUCUGUGGAUAUUCCGCUCCUGGUCUCCCCUAUUUCACAUAGCAACAACAUGACUACACAAAGUCAACAUUUUAGUGUGUAGACCAGAAAAUGAAGGUGAACAAAUAUAUUUUUUUACAAGUCUCUUCCAUAAUGUUGCUGCUUUAAGUGACAUCCACAUCUGC